rfam:Hordeum vulgare subsp. vulgare, WGS project CAJW01000000 data, contig: morex_contig_59442
AUAGUAUUCCCUUCGUCCGAAAAUACUUGUCCUAGAGAUGAAUGUAUCUAGACUUAUUUUNNUUAUAGAUACAUCCAUUAUAUACAUUUCUAGGACAAGUAUUUCCACACGGAGGGAGUACAAA